GAUUAACGCUGGCGGCAUGCCUAAUACAUGCAAGUCGAUCGGGGAGCUUGCUCCCAGAGGCGAACGGGUGAGUAACACGUAUCUAAUCUGCCCUAUAGUUUGGAAUAACUACUAGAAAUGGUAGCUAAUGCCGAAUAGAGCGAAAAUGGAAUCUUUUUUAAUCUAAAGGCCCGUUUGGGUCGCUAUAGGAUGAGGAUGCGGUGCAUUAGCUAGUUGGCGGGGUAAUGGCCCACCAAGGCGAUGAUGCAUAGCCGGCCUGAGAGGGUGAACGGCCAAACUGGAACUGAGACACGGUCCAGACUCCUACGGGAGUCAGCAGUAGGGAAUUUUUCACAAUGGGCGAAAGCCUGAUGGGGCAAUGCCGCGUGAGUGAUGAAGGUCUUCGGAUUGUAAAGCUCUGUUGUAAGGGAAAAACGAUCGGGUUAGGAAAUGAACUCGGUGUGAUGGUACCUUACCAGAAAGCCACGGCUAACUACGUGCCAGCAGCCGCCGUAA
rnacentral:rRNA from 1 species